GUGCACGCUGGCGGUAGGCCUAACACCUGCCAGUCGCACGGCAGCACAGUAAGAGCUUGCUCUUCCGGGUGGCGAGUGGCGGACGGGUGAGGAAUACAUCGGAAUCUACUUUUUCGUGGGGGAUAACGUAGGGAAACUUACGCUAAUACCGCAUACGACCUACGGGUGAAAGCAGGGGAUCUUCGGACCUUGCGCGAUUGAAUGAGCCGAUGUCGGAUUAGCUAGUUGGCGGGGUAAAGGCCCACCAAGGCGACGAUCCGUAGCUGGUCUGAGAGGAUGAUCAGCCACACUGGAACUGAGACACGGUCCAGACUCCUACGGGAGGCAGCAGUGGGGAAUAUUGGACAAUGGGCGCAAGCCUGAUCCAGCCAUACCGCGUGGGUGAAGAAGGCCUUCGGGUUGUAAAGCCCUUUUGUUGGGAAAGAAAAGCAGCAGGUUAAUACCCCGCUGUUCGGACGGUACCCAAAGAAUAAGCACCGGCUAACUUCGU
rnacentral:rRNA from 1 species